GAGCACGAGUGUCCGUGUGUGAGCACAUGGGCGAGAGUGAGCACGAGUGUCCGUGUGGGAGUGUGAGCACGAGUGUGUGAGCACGUGGGUGAGAGCACGUGGGUGAGAGUGAGCACGAGUGUCCGUGUGUGAGCACGUGGGUGAGUGAGCACGAGUGUCCGUGUGAGUGUGAGCACAUGGGUGAGAGUGAGCACGAGUGUCCGUGUGGGAGUGUGAGCACGAGUGUCCAUGCAGAAGGUAAUUUUUGGGGGUCUUGUGCCCCUGUUCUGCCCUUGGAUCAUUUAGCCGGGUAUAGCAUGCACCAUUAUGCCUGGCUAAUUUUAUUUUGUUUUUUUUGAGACAGUCUUGCUCUGUCACUAGGUAAUCUUGGCUCACUGCAACCUCUGCCUCCCAGGUUCACGCCAUUCUCCUGCCUCAGCCUCCUGAGUAGCUGGGACUACAGGUGUGCACCACCAUACCCAGCUAAUUUUUGUGUUGUUAGUAGAGAUGAGGUGUCACCAUGUUGGCCAGGCUGGUCUCAAACUCCUGACCUUGUGAUCUGCCCACCUUGGCCUCCCAAAAUGCUGGGAUUACAGGCGUGAGCCGCCGUGCCCAGCCUCUUUCUUUUUUUUUUGACAGAGUCUUGCUCUGUUGCCCAGGCUGGAGUGCAAUGGCACAAUCUUGGCUCACUGCAACUUCCCCCUCCUGGAUUCAAGCGAUUCUCCUGCUUCAGGCCCUCAAGUAGCUGGGAUUACAGGUGCGUGCCACCACGCCCGGCUAAUUUCAUAUUUUUAGUAGAGUUGGGAUUUCACCAUGUUAGUCAGGCUGGUCACAAACUCCUGACCUCAAGUGAUCCACCCGCCUUGGCCUCCCAAAGUGCUGGGAUUACAGGUGUGAGCUAUGACAUCUGAUCCCUAAUUUUUAUUUUUAAUUGACAAGUAAUUGCAUAUGUUUAUGGAAUAUGAUAUGAUGUUUCAAUACUGUAUAUAUUAUAAAGCAGGUCACGCUAAUGAACAUAUCCAUCACCUCACAUACUUAUUUCUUUG
rnacentral:lncRNA from 1 species